CACGUAGGGUGCGAGCGUUGUCCGGAAUUAUUGGGCGUAAAGAGCUCGUAGGCGGUGUGUCGCGUCGGCCGUGAAAACUUGCAGCUUAACUGUGGGCGUGCGGUCGAUACGGGCAUCACUGGAGUUCGGCAGGGGAGACUGGAAUUCCUGGUGUAGCGGUGAAAUGCGCAGAUAUCAGGAGGAACACCGGUGGCGAAGGCGGGUCUCUGGGCCGAUACUGACGCUGAGAAGCGAAAGCGUGGGGAGCAAACAGG
rnacentral:rRNA from 1 species